rnacentral:rRNA from 1 species
UGCAGUCGAACGGCAGCACGGGCUUCGGCCUGGUGGCGAGUGGCGAACGGGUGAGUAAUACAUCGGAACGUACCCAGAAGUGGGGGAUAACGCAGCGAAAGUUGCGCUAAUACCGCAUACGUUCUACGGAAGAAAGUGGGGGAUCUUCGGACCUCAUGCUUUUGGAGCGGCCGAUGUCUGAUUAGCUAGUUGGUGGGGUAAAGGCUCACCAAGGCGACGAUCAGUAGCUGGUCUGAGAGGACGACCAGCCACACUGGAACUGAGACACGGUCCAGACUCCUACGGGAGGCAGCAGUGGGGAAUUUUGGACAAUGGGCGCAAGCCUGAUCCAGCAAUGCCGCGUGAGUGAAGAAGGCCUUCGGGUUGUAAAGCUCUUUUGUCAGGGAAGAAACGGUUCCGGCUAAUAUCUGGAGCUAAUGACGGUACCUGAAGAAUAAGCACCGGCUAACUACGUGCCAGCAGCCGCGGUAAUACGUAGGGUGCAAGCGUUAAUCGGAAUUACUGGGCGUAAAGCGUGCGCAGGCGGUUUUGUAAGUCUGUCGUGAAAGCCCCGGGCUCAACCUGGGAAUUGCGAUGGAGACUGCAAGGCUUGAAUCUGGCAGAGGGGGGUAGAAUUCCACGUGUAGCAGUGAAAUGCGUAGAGAUGUGGAGGAACACCGAUGGCGAAGGCAGCCCCCUGGGUCAAGAUUGACGCUCAUGCACGAAAGCGUGGGGAGCAAACAGGAUUAGAUACCCUGGUAGUCCACGCCCUAAACGAUGUCUACUAGUUGUCGGGUUUUAAUUAACUUGGUAACGCAGCUAACGCGUGAAGUAGACCGCCUGGGGAGUACGGUCGCAAGAUUAAAACUCAAAGGAAUUGACGGGGACCCGCACAAGCGGUGGAUGAUGUGGAUUAAUUCGAUGCAACGCGAAAAACCUUACCUACCCUUGACAUGGAAGGAAUCCGAAGAGAUUUGGGAGUGCCCGAAAGGGAACCUUCACACAGGUGCUGCAUGGCUGUCGUCAGCUCGUGUCGUGAGAUGUUGGGUUAAGUCCCGCAACGAGCGCAACCCUUGUCAUUAGUUGCUACGCAAGAGCACUCUAAUGAGACUGCCGGUGACAAACCGGAGGAAGGUGGGGAUGACGUCAAGUCCUCAUGGCCCUUAUGGGUAGGGCUUCACACGUCAUACAAUGGUACAUACAGAGGGCCGCCAACCCGCGAGGGGGAGCUAAUCCCAGAAAGUGUAUCGUAGUCCGGAUUGUAGUCUGCAACUCGACUACAUGAAGUUGGAAUCGCUAGUAAUCGCGGAUCAGCAUGUCGCGGUGAAUACGUUCCCGGGUCUUGUACACACCGCCCGUCACACCAUGGGAGCGGGUUUUACCAGAAGUAGGUAGCUUAACCGCAAGGAGGGCGCU